GUGGGGAAUUGUUCGCAAUGGGCGCAAGCCUGACGACGCAACGCCGCGUGGAGGAUGAAGGUCUUCGGAUUGUAAACUCCUGUUGACCGGGACGAAUGAACCUCGACCUAACACGUCGAGGGGGUGACGGUACCGGUUGAGGAAGCCACGGCUAACUCUGUGCCAGCAGCCGCGGUAAUACAGAGGUGGCAAGCGUUGUUCGGAAUUACUGGGCGUAAAGGGCGCGUAGGCGGCCGCCUAAGUCAGACGUGAAAUCCCCAGGCUUAACUUGGGAACUGCGUCUGAUACUGGGUGGCUAGAGUUCGGGAGAGGAAUGUGGAAUUCCAGGUGUAGCGGUGAAAUGCGUAGAUAUCUGGAGGAACACCGGUGGCGAAGGCGGCAUUCUGGACCGAAACUGACGCUGAGGCGCGAAAGCCAGGGGAGCAAACGGGAUUAGAUACCCGUGUAGUCC
rnacentral:rRNA from 1 species